rnacentral:rRNA from 1 species
AAGAAAGUAAGUCAGGGCGCAUGGUGGAUGCCUUGGCUCACGGAGGCGAUGAAGGACGUGAUAAGCUGCGAUAAGCUUGGGUGAGGUGCAAAUGACCUUUGACCCCAAGAUUUCCGAAUGGGACAACCCAACAGUCUACGACUGUUAUCCGCGCUUAAGCGUGGAGGCAAACGCAGGGAACUGAAACAUCUUAGUACCUGUAGGAAGAGAAAACAAAAGUGAUUCCCCCAGUAGUGGCGAGCGACCGGGGAACAGCCCAAACCGCUCCUGUUCCGGCAGGUGCGGGGUUGUAGGACCACGACAUUGUACUUUAAUCGUGAGUGGAACUGUCUGGAAAGUCAGGCCAUAGCGGGUGACAGCCCCUUACACGAAUCGAGCGAAGGCAUAGUGGUAUCCUGAGUAACGCGGGACACGAGUAAUCCUGCGCGAAUCCGCCGGGCCCAUCCGGCAAGGCUAAAUACUCCCGUGAGACCGAUAGCGUACCAGUACCGUGAGGGAAAGGUGAAAAGAACCCCUAUUAGGGGAGUGAAACAGAUCCUGAAACCAUGCGCCUACAAGCGGUCGGAGCUGCUUAAUGCAGUGACGGCGUGCCUUUUGCAUAAUGAACCUACGAGUUGCCGUCACCGGCGAGGUUAAGUGUGAUGACACACGUUAUCCGCAGUGAAAGCGAGCCUGAAUAGGGCGCAUAGUCGGUGGAGGCAGACGCGAAACCAAGUGAUCUACACUUGGCCAGGAUGAAGUCCCGGUAACACGGGAUGGAGGUCCGCACCGAUAAGCGUUGAAAAGCUUCCGGAUGAGCCGAGUGUAGGAGUGAAAGGCCAAUCAAACUUGGAGAUAGCUCGUACUCCCCGAAAGGCAUUUAGGUGCCGCGUAUGGCGGUCACCGUGAGAGGUAGAGCGACCGAUAGGAUGCGAGGGCUUCACCGCCUAUCAAGUCCUGACGAACUCCGAAUGCUCACGGUCGGGAGCCAUGCAGUAAGGGGGCGGGUGCUAAGGUCCGUCCCCGAGAGGAGAAGAAUCCAGACCGCCGUCUAAGGUCCCUGAGUUCUGCCUGAGUUAGUCUAACGAAGUCUGGUCCCUGUGACAGCUAGGAUGUUGGCUUGGACGCAGCC